UGUGGGAGCGAGCCUGCUCGCGAUGCUGGCAGCACGGUCUUCCAAAGAGACCGCAGUGAUGCCAUCGCGAGCAGGCUCGCUCCCACA
rnacentral:misc_RNA from 1 species